rnacentral:tRNA from 1 species
AUUAAAAUUCUUCCUAGCGCU